AGGACGAACGCUGGCGGCGUGCUUAACACAUGCAAGUCGAGCGGAAAGGCCCUUCGGGGUACUCGAGCGGCGAACGGGUGAGUAACACGUGAGUAAUCUGCCCCUAGCUCUGGGAUAGCUCCGGGAAACCGGGAUUAAUACCAGAUACGACCACUUUAGACAUCUGCUGUGGUGGAAAGAAUUUCGGCUAGGGAUGAGCUCGCGGCCUAUCAGCUUGUUGGUGAGGUAACGGCUCACCAAGGCGACGACGGGUAGCCGGCCUGAGAGGGCGACCGGCCACACUGGGACUGAGACACGGCCCAGACUCCUACGGGAGGCAGCAGUGGGGGAAUAUUGCGCAAUGGGCGAAAGCCUGACGCAGCGACGCCGCGUGGGGGAUGAAGGCCUUCGGGUUGUAACCCCUUUCAGCAGGGACGAAGCGAAGUGACGGUACCUGCAGAAGAAGCGCCGGCUAACUACGUGCCAGCAGCCGC
rnacentral:rRNA from 1 species